GAUGAACGCUGGCGGCGUGCCUAAUACAUGCAAGUCGAGCGAACAGACGAGGAGCUUGCUCCUCUGACGUUAGCGGCGGACGGGUGAGUAACACGUGGAUAACCUACCUAUAAGACUGGGAUAACUUCGGGAAACCGGAGCUAAUACCGGAUAAUAUAUUUAACCGCAUGGUUCAUUAGUGAAAGUCGGUUUUUCUGUCACUUAUAGAUGGAUCCGCGCCGCAUUAGCUAGUUGGUAAGGUAACGGCUUACCAAGGCGACGAUGAGUAGCCGAACUGAGAGGGUGAUAGGCCACACUGGAACUGAGACACGGUACAGACACCUACGGGAGGAAGAAGAAGGGAAUCUUACGCAAUGGGCGAAAGCCUGACGGAGCAAAGCCGAGUGAGUGAUGAAGGUCUUCGGAUCGUAAAACUAUGUUAUUAGGGAAGAACAAAUGUGUAAGUAAAUAUGCACGUCUUGACGGUAACUAAUCAGAAAGCAACGGCUAACUACGUG
rnacentral:rRNA from 1 species